GACUCUCUCCCCACUGUUCGAUCACCUCCUCUUUACCACCCCCUUGAGUUAUCAUCUUUGCCUCGUACUUGCACGCAGUGUACUCGCCUUCAACUGUACUUUAAAAUUAAUCUGCCGUUUUUCUCUACUCGCCUUCAAAAUCAUCCAUUCAGGUCUCCAAGAGUUAUAUAUAUGGAUUUUAUCUUGAGGACCGAUUAGAGUUAUUCUUAAAAAUUUUGAAACACUUGAAUUUUAAGUUUCUUACAGAUGAAACUAGCUUAUUUUGUAUUUAAAGAUAAUAUUUUGAGUUAGCUCUUGUUUUCUUAAUCGAUUAUACAUAAACUGAUUCUAAAAAGUUGUGUCGGUUUCUUUUACUAUAAAAUUUGAGAAUUUUAAUCGCAUUUUAUAUUGAUUUUAAAAUUAUAAAAUUAAUAAAUAUAUUUUGUAAUUUUAAAAAAUUAAUUUUAAUUUUUAUUAAAAAUUUACAUUUAAAAAUAUUAAAAUUAAUUUUAAUUAUAUACUUAAUUUAUAUUAUAUUAUUUAAUUUAAAUUAUUAUAUAUAAUUUAUUGUAAAAUGAUUAAACUAACCCUCCAUAUAAGAAAGCCCUAAAACUCAAAUUCAUCUUUCCUUGUUACCUCGACUCUCUCCCCACUGUUCGAUCACCUCCUCUUUACCACCCCCUUGAGUUAUCAUCUUUGCCUCGUACUUGCACGCAGUGUGCUCGCCUUCUAACUGUAUUUCAAAAUCAAUCCGCCGUUUUUCCCUGCUCGCCUUCAAAAUCAUCCAUUCAGCGUCGCUUUGGAGCAGCCGCGGCAGGAUCCACUGGUAAAGUGCUUUCACUAUGUAUCUGUUGUGAACUCAUCGGCGAUAGGACCCCUUGGUUUUCUUCAAACCGGGGAUCUUUCUCUUUUUUUUUUUCUAGUGUUUUCUGGUUGCUAUUUGCAUAAAUUUUUGCUUUGUUCAAUUACUGCCUCUUUGCUAAUGUCGUGCUACUCAACAUCUUUCUUCCAAGGCUUCGUUCCUCCUGAUUCAUUGCCGAGACGUGUUUUCUUGCUGUUCCAUUUUCUCGUUUUCUACAGAUAAUGUGUUACUUCGAGAUUGUUUUGUAUUUCAUUGAAGGCUUCUCUUUGUUUACCUAUGCUAUACGUGGUUUUCGUUUUUCUUUUAGUUUUGAUUCUUUUGUGUUCCUGGUGAUACUUGGUUGGGGUUUAAUACUACAACCUUGAAUCCUGGGUUCGUAAAGGCAAUUUGUGAUGUAAUCUUUUUUAUUUUCAAUAAAUAAAAUUCUCUUUUCUUGAUAAGAGCAAUUUUGGUUAUGCAUCAGGGACUUGUAGUUGAAGUAUAAAGAGGAGGGCUUUCUAUUGUUCAGAAAGCAUAAUUUGCUGUAAAUCCGUAUAACUAAUAUGAGGAAAUAAUUAGAACUUAUUCCAUUUUCAGUAAAUGAGGAAAGCUUCAUUUGAUAACUUAAUCUUCUUUUACUUUUGACAGCAACAACUGCGAGAAAAAUGUAGUUCUUCUUGUAUAUAUAUAUUUAUGCAUUUAAUAAUUACUAUUCCUUUGUACUCGGAACAAGCAGCAAUGAUAUACACAGGACUUACUAUAUGCAUUCUUGCACUUAACUGCUUGAAUCUUUUAUAUAUAAAAAAGAAGUUUUCUUUCAAAAUGUUGCUUCCAAGUUAAAUAUUACCUAUCCCUGUUUGUCCAUGUCCAUUUUUCAUGCAUCUGUUUUAAGUUUGACAUUUCUUAGGACUGUAUUCACCAUAUUGUCUACUGAUUGGCUUUAAUGGUAUUAGGUGCCUGGUCUUGAUUAGUGAUAUAAUGGGUUGGAAGGCAGCUGAGAAACUUAUCAGGCACUGGAGGGUUCUUAGAGGAGACAAUGU
rnacentral:lncRNA from 1 species